CCUACGGGAGGCAGCAGUGAGGAAUAUUGGGCAAUGGGGGCAACCCUGACCCAGCCAUGCCGCGUGAGUGAAGAAGGUCUUCGGAUUGUAAAGCUCUUUCGGACGUGACGAUGAUGACGGUAGCGUCUAAAGAAGCACCGGCAAACUUCGUGCCAGCAGCCGCGGUAAUACGAAGGGUGCGAGCGUUGUUCGGAAUUACUGGGCGUAAAGGGAGGGUAGGCGGAUAUGUAAGAUAGCGGUGAAAUGCCGGGGCUCAACCCCGGAACUGCCAUUAUGACUAUGUAUCUAGAGUAAGGGAGAGGAUAGUAGAAUACCCAGUGUAGAGGUGAAAUUCGUAGAGAUUGGGUAGAACACCGGUGGCGAAGGCGGCUAUCUGGCCAUUUACUGACGCUGAGGUUCGAAAGCAUGGGGAGCAAACAGGAUUAGAUACCCCUGUAGUC
rnacentral:rRNA from 1 species